CAGUCGCCGCGGUAAUGCGUAGGGUGCGAGCGUUAAUCGGAAUUACUGGGCGUAAAGCGUGCGCAGGCGGUUGUGUAAGACAGGUGUGAAAUCCCCGGGCUUAACCUGGGAACUGCGCUUGUGACUGCACAGCUAGAGUAUGGCAGAGGGGGGUGGAAUUCCACGUGUAGCAGUGAAAUGCGUAGAGAUGUGGAGGAACGCCGAUGGCGAAGGCAGCCCCCUGGGCCAAUACUGACGCUCAUGCACGAAAGCGUGGGGAGCAAACAGGAUUAGAUACCCCAGUAGUCCCUGUCUCUUAUAC
rnacentral:rRNA from 1 species